CCUUAGUAGCGGCGAGUGAGCGGCAAAAGCUCAAAUUUGAAAUCUGGCGCCUUCGGUGUCCGAGUUGUAAUUUGAAGAUUGUAACCUUGGGGUUGGCUCUUGUCUAUGUUUCUUGGAACAGGACGUCACAGAGGGUGAGAAUCCCGUGCGAUGAGAUGCCCAAUUCUAUGUAAGGUGCUUUCGAAGAGUCGAGUUGUUUGGGAAUGCAGCUCUAAGUGGGUGGUAAAUUCCAUCUAAAGCUAAAUAUUGGCGAGAGACCGAUAGCGAACAAGUACAGUGAUGGAAAGAUGAAAAGAACUUUGAAAAGAGAGUGAAAAAGUACGUGAAAUUGUUGAAAGGGAAGGGUUUGAGAUCAGACUCGAUAUUUUGUGAGCCUUGCCUUCGUGGCGGGGUGACCCGCAGCUUAUCGGGCCAGCAUCGGUUUGGGCGGUAGGAUAAUGGCGUAGGAAUGUGACUUUACUUCGGUGAAGUGUUAUAGCCUGCGUUGAUGCUGCCUGCCUAGACCGAGGACUGCGAUUUUAUCAAGGAUGCUGGCAUAAUGAUCCCAAACCGCCCGUCUUGAAACACGGACCAA
rnacentral:rRNA from 1 species